GAUGAACGCUGGCGGCGUGCCUAAUACAUGCAAGUCGAGCGAACAGACGAGGAGCUUGCUCCUCUGACGUUAGCGGCGGACGGGUGAGUAACACGUGGAUAACCUACCUAUAAGACUGGGAUAACUUCGGGAAACCGGAGCUAAUACCGGAUAAUAUAUUGAACCGCAUGGUUCAAUAGUGAAUGACGGUUUUGCUGUCACUUAUAGAUGGAUCCGCGCCGCAUUAGCUAGUUGGUAAGGUAACGGCUUACCAAGGCAACGAUGCGUAGCCGACCUGAGAGGGUGGUCGGCCACCCUGGAACUGAGACACGGUCCAGACUCCUACGGGAGGCAGCAGUCGGGAAUCUUCCGCAAUGGGCGAAAGCUUGACGGAGCAACGCCGCGUGAGUGAUGAAGGUCUUCGGAUCGUAAAACUCUGUUAUUAGGGAAGAACAAAUGUGUAAGUAACUAUGCACGUCUUGACGGUACCUAAUCAGAAAGCCACGGCUAACUACGUG
rnacentral:rRNA from 1 species